UGAGGAAUUUUGCGCAAUGGGAGCAAUCCUGACGCAGCAACGCCGCGUGGGUGAUGAAGGCCUUCGGGUCGUAAAGCCCUGUCAGGUGGAAAGAAUGUCCCGGGACUGAACAGGUUCCGGGAGUGACGGUACCACCAGAGGAAGCACCGGCUAACUCCGUGCCAGCAGCCGCGGUAAUACGGAGGGUGCAAGCGUUAUUCGGAAUUACUGGGCGUAAAGCGCGUGUAGGCGGUCCCGCAAGUCUGAUGUGAAAGCCCCGGGCUUAACCCGGGAAGUGCAUUGGAAACUGUGGGACUUGAGGACGGGAGAGGAUGGGGGAAUUCCCGGUGUAGAGGUGAAAUUCGUAGAGAUCGGGAGGAAUAUCAGUGGCGAAGGCGCCCAUCUGGACGGUAACUGACGCUGAGACACGAAAGCGUGGGGAGCAAACA
rnacentral:rRNA from 1 species